rnacentral:rRNA from 1 species
UGGCGGACGGGUGAGUAACGCGUGGAAAACCUGCCGUAUACUGGGGGAUAACACUUAGAAAUAGGUGCUAAUACCGCAUAAGCGCACAGCUUCGCAUGAAGCGGUGUGAAAAACUCUGGUGGUAUACGAUGGUUCCGCGUCUGAUUAGCUAGUUGGUGGGGUAAUGGCCUACCAAGGCAACGAUCAGUAGCCGGCCUGAGAGGGUGAACGGCCACGUUGGGACUGAGACACGGCCCAAACUCCUACGGGAGGCAGCAG